CGCAAGCCUGACGGAGCAAGACCGCGUGCGGGAUGACGGCCUAAUGGUUGUAAACCGCUUUUCUCUGGGAAGAUGAUGACGGUACCAGAGGAAUCGGCCUCGGCUAACUCCGUGCCAGCAGCCGCGGUAAUACGGAGGAGGCAAGCGUUAUCCGGAAUUAUUGGGCGUAAAGCGUCCGUAGGUGGUUAUUCAAGUCUGCUGUCAAAGCGUGGGGCUUAACUCCAUAGAGGCAGUGGAAACUGGAUGACUUGAGUGCGGUAGGGGUCGAGGGAAUUCCCAGUGUAGCGGUGAAAUGCGUAGAUAUUGGGAAGAACACCAGUGGCGAAAGCGCUCGACUGGGCCUGCACUGACACUGAGGGACGAAAGCUAGGGGAGCG
rnacentral:rRNA from 1 species